UACAGAGGUGGCAAGCGUUGUUCGGAAUUACUGGGCGUAAAGGGCGCGUAGGCGGCCUUCUAAGUCAGACGUGAAAUCCCCCGGCUUAACCUGGGAACUGCCUUUGUGACUGCAAGGCUUGAGUGCGGCAGAGGGGGAUGGAAUUCCGCGUGUAGCAGUGAAAUGCGUAGAUAUGCGGAGGAACACCGGUGGCGAAGGCGAGCCCCUGGGCCUGCACUGACGCUCAUGCACGAAAGCGUGGGGAGCAAACAGG
rnacentral:rRNA from 1 species